CCGACAUAAAUACCCUGGGGUCGCUCUCCCAGGCUCUGUCCAGGUAAUGGCAGGAGCGCAGGGCUCUGCUCAGUGAUGUACAGUCCCUUUCCACAGCGUCAGAGAUGAAGUCAGGCCCGAGUCCGCACCUGCAUAUUCCUAUAGCUUCUCAGAGUCCCAUGGACCGUGACUGAGAAGACAAACCAUGCAGGAAACAGUU
rnacentral:snoRNA from 1 species